rnacentral:misc_RNA from 1 species
GAUGAAGAACGUAGCGAAAUGCGAUAAGUAAUGCGAAUUGCAGAAUUUCCGUGAGUCAUCGAAUCUUUGAACGCACAUUGCGCCCGCCAGUAUUCUGGCGGGCAUGCCUGUCUGAGCGUCAUUUCAACCCUCGUAACCAGCUUGCUGGAUGCGGUGUUGGGGAUCGGCCACCCGUACUGGGAGGCCGUCCCUUAAAUAGAGUGGCGGUUGCGCUGUGACCUCCUCUGCGUAGUAGCAAUAUCUCGCAGGCGGAUAGCGGUGUGACCACGCCGUAAAACCCCCAACUCUUCUUUGGUUGACCUCAGAUCAGGUAGGAAUACCCGCUGAACUUAAGCAUAUCAAUAAGCGGAGGA